AACGAACGCUGGCGGCACGCUUAACACAUGCAAGUCGAACGAAGCAUAGAUUUCGGUUUAUGACUGAGUGGCAAACGGGUGAGUAACACGUGGGAAUUUUCCCUUUAGUGGGGAAUAACUUUGGGAAACUAAAGAUAAUUCCGCAUAAGUUCGAAAGGAGAAAGACUUCGGUCGCUAGAGGAGGAGCCCGCGUUAGAUUAGGUAGUUGGUGGGGUAAUGGCCUACCAAGGCGACGAUCCUUAGCUGGUUUGAGAGGAUGAUCAGCCACCCUGGGACUGAGACACGGCCCAGACUCCUUCGGGAGGCAGCAGUGGGGAAUAUUGGACAAUGGGCGAAAGCCUGAUCCAGCAAUGCCGCGUGAGUGAUGAAGGCCUUAGGGUUGUAAAGCUUUUUUUCCAGGGAUGAUAAUGACAGUUCCAAGGGAAUAAGCUCCGGCUAACUCCGUG
rnacentral:rRNA from 1 species